rnacentral:rRNA from 1 species
UACAGAGGGUGCAAGCGUUAAUCGGAAUUACUGGGCGUAAAGGGUGCGUAGGUUGUUAUAAAAGUUAGAUGUGAAAGUCCUGGGCUUAACCUGGGGACUGCAUAUAAUACUGUAUAGCUAGAGUACUGUAGAGGGAGGUGGAAUUUCCGGUGUAGCAGUGAAAUGCGUAGAGAUGCGGAGGAACACCGAUGGCGAAGGCAGCCCCCUGGGUCGACACUGACGCUCAGGCACGAAAGCGUGGGGAGCAAACAGG